rnacentral:rRNA from 1 species
UACGGGGGGGGCAAGCGUUGUUCGGAAUUACUGGGCGUAAAGGGCUCGUAGGCGGCCAACUAAGUCGAACGUGAAAUCCCCGGGCUCAACCCGGGAACUGCGUCCGAUACUGGGAGGCUUGAAUCCGGGAGAGGGAUGUGGAAUUCCAGGUGUAGCGGUGAAAUGCGUAGAUAUCUGGAGGAACACCGGUGGCGAAGGCGGCAUCCUGGACCGGUAUUGACGCUGAGGCGCGAAAGCCAGGGGAGCAAACGGG